rnacentral:rRNA from 1 species
CUACGGGGGGCACCAGUAAGGAAUAUUGGGCAAUGGACGCAAGUCUGACCCAGCCAUGCCGCGUGAAGGAUGAAGGCCCUCUGGGUUGUAAACUUCUUUUAUCUGGGGCGAAAGGCGGUUAUUCUUAGCCGUUUGACAGUACCAGAGGAAUAAGCACCGGCUAACUCCGUGCCAGCAGCCGCGGUAAUACGGAGGGUGCGAGCGUUAUCCGGAUUCACUGGGUUUAACGGGUGCGUAGGUGGAUCUGUAAGUCAGAGGUGAAAUCCCCGAGCUUAACUUGGGAACUGCCUUUGAUACUAUAGAUCUUGAAUAUCGUGGAGGUAAGCGGAAUAUGUCAUGUAGCGGUGAAAUGCAUAGAGAUGACAUAGAACACCAAUUGCGAAGGCAGCUUGCUACACGAUGAUUGACACUGAGGCACGAAAGCGUGGGGAGCAAACAGGAUUAGAUACCCGGGUAGUC